rnacentral:rRNA from 1 species
AAUGAGAGUUUGAUCCUGGCUCAGGACGAACGCUGGCGGCGUGCCUAAUACAUGCAAGUAGAACGCUGAGGUUUGGUGUUUACACUAGACUGAUGAGUUGCGAACGGGUGAGUAACGCGUAGGUAACCUGCCUCAUAGCGGGGGAUAACUAUUGGAAACGAUAGCUAAUACCGCAUAAGAGUAAUUAACACAUGUUAGUUAUUUAAAAGGAGCAAUUGCUUCACUGUGAGAUGGACCUGCGUUGUAUUAGCUAGUUGGUGAGGUAAAGGCUCACCAAGGCGACGAUACAAAGCCGACCUGAGAGGGUGAUCGGCCACACUGGGACUGAGACACGGCCCAGACUCCUACGGGAGGCAGCAGUAGGGAAUCUUCGGCAAUGGACGGAAGUCUGACCGAGCAACGCCGCGUGAGUGAAGAAGGUUUUCGGAUCGUAAAGCUCUGUUGUUAGAGAAGAACGUUGGUAGGAGUGGAAAAUCUACCAAGUGACGGUAACUAACCAGAAAGGGACGGCUAACUACGUGCCAGCAGCCGCGGUAAUACGUAGGUCCCGAGCGUUGUCCGGAUUUAUUGGGCGUAAAGCGAGCGCAGGCGGUUCUUUAAGUCUGAAGUUAAAGGCAGUGGCUUAACCAUUGUACGCUUUGGAAACUGGAGGACUUGAGUGCAGAAGGGGAGAGUGGAAUUCCAUGUGUAGCGGUGAAAUGCGUAGAUAUAUGGAGGAACACCGGUGGCGAAAGCGGCUCUCUGGUCUGUAACUGACGCUGAGGCUCGAAAGCGUGGGGAGCAAACAGGAUUAGAUACCCUGGUAGUCCACGCCGUAAACGAUGAGUGCUAGGUGUUAGGCCCUUUCCGGGGCUUAGUGCCGCAGCUAACGCAUUAAGCACUCCGCCUGGGGAGUACGACCGCAAGGUUGAAACUCAAAGGAAUUGACGGGGGCCCGCACAAGCGGUGGAGCAUGUGGUUUAAUUCGAAGCAACGCGAAGAACCUUACCAGGUCUUGACAUCCUUCUGACCGGCCUAGAGAUAGGCUUUCUCUUCGGAGCAGAAGUGACAGGUGGUGCAUGGUUGUCGUCAGCUCGUGUCGUGAGAUGUUGGGUUAGUCCCGCAACGAGCGCAACCCCUAUUGUUAGUUGCCAUCAUUAAGUUGGGCACUCUAGCGAGACUGCCGGUAAUAAACCGGAGGAAGGUGGGGAUGACGUCAAAUCAUCAUGCCCCUUAUGACCUGGGCUACACACGUGCUACAAUGGUUGGUACAACGAGUCGCAAGUCGGUGACGGCAAGCGAAUCUCUUAAAGCCAAUCUCAGUUCGGAUUGUAGGCUGCAACUCGCCUACAUGAAGUCGGAAUCGCUAGUAAUCGCGGAUCAGCACGCCGCGGUGAAUACGUUCCCGGGCCUUGUACACACCGCCCGUCACACCACGAGAGUUUGUAACACCCGAAGUCGGUGAGGUAACCUUUUAGGAGCCAGCCGCCUAAGGUGGGAUAGAUGAUUGGGGUGAAGUCGUAACAAGGUAGCCGUAUCGGAAGGUGCGGCUGGAUCACCUCCUUU